rnacentral:rRNA from 1 species
GGUCUACGCCAUACCUCCUUGAAUGCUGUUGAUCUCGCCUGAUCUCAAAAGCUAAGUAGGGUUGGUCCUGGUUAGUGCUUAGAUAG